AUCGAACGCUGGCGGCAGGCCUAACACAUGCAAGUCGAGCGGAGCGGCGGACGGGUGAGUAAUGCCUAGGAAUCUGCCUGGUAGUGGGGGAUAACGUCCGGAAACGGGCGCUAAUACCGCAUACUAUCAGAUGAGCCUAGGUCGGAUUAGCUAGUUGGUGGGGUAAAGGCCUACCAAGGCGACGAUACGUCACUGGUCUGAGAGGAUGAUCAGUAAAACGGGAAUUGAGAAACGGUCCAGACUCCUACGGGAGGCAGCAGUGGGGAAUAUUGGACAAUGGGCGAAAGCUUGAUCCAGCCAGGCGGGGGGUGGGAAGAAGGUCUUGGGAUGGUAAAGCACGUUAAGUUGGGAGGCGUUACUAACAGAAUAAGCACCGGCUAACUACGUGCCAGCCGCCGCGGUAAUAC
rnacentral:rRNA from 1 species